GGGGAAUUGUUCGCAAUGGGCGCAAGCCUGACGACGCAACGCCGCGUGGAGGACGAAGAUCUUCGGGUCGUAAACUCCUUUCGAUCGGGAAGAACGCCUCUGGUGUGAAUAUCGCCAGAGGGUGACGGUACCGAGAGAAGAAGCCACGGCUAACUCUGUGCCAGCAGCCGCGGUAAUACAGAGGGGGCAAGCGUUGUUCGGAAUUACUGGGCGUAAAGGGCGCGUAGGCGGCCUUCUAAGUCGAACGUGAAAUCCCUGGGCUCAACCUAGGAACUGCGUCCGAUACUGGGAGGCUUGAAUCCGGGAGAGGGAUGCGGAAUUCCAGGUGUAGCGGUGAAAUGCGUAGAUAUCUGGAGGAACACCGGUGGCGAAGGCGGCAUCCUGGACCGGUAUUGACGCUGAGGCGCGAAAGCCAGGGGAGCAAA
rnacentral:rRNA from 1 species